ACCUCACACCAAGGGACCCACAGUAAGAGAAGCCCUUCGAGUUCCCUGACUGCGGGAAGAGCUUUGGCUGCUGCUCCAACUCCCUCAGCCAUCGGAGGACCCCCAUUGGAUGAUCCACAGGGACCCACGUUGGGCACAGACCUGGUGACCCAUGGUCCAGGUGGUCCAUGCUGGGACCUGCCCCUCUGUCCAGCCCCUGUCCCGACCCCCCUGACAGUGAGGGUGACUCAGGGUCUUCGUAACUGAUCCCUUGGGGCAGAUUAGAGUUAGUUUACCUAUAUCUAUGUCUAUAUUUAUAUCUAUCUAUAUAUGUAGGGUUUAGUUUAGAACAAUUUUGUCUCCAUGUAAAGUAGGUUUGGGGCAGUUUUGGCUCCUGUCUAUGGUGAUAUAAAACCA